rnacentral:misc_RNA from 1 species
GAUGAAGAACGCAGCGAAAUGCGAUAAGUAAUGUGAAUUGCAGAAUUCAGUGAAUCAUCGAAUCUUUGAACGCAUCUUGCGCUCCUUGGUAUUCCUUGGAGCAUGCCUGUUUGAGUAUCAUGAGCAAACCUCAAAGUCAAUUCCUUUUGUUAAUUCAAUUGGUUUUGCUUUGGACUUGGAGGUCUUGCAGAUUUCACAGUCUGCUCCUCUUAAAUGCAUUAGCUGGAUCUCAGUAAUUAUGCUUGGUUCCACUCGGCGUGAUAAGUAUCACUCGCUGAGGACACUGUUAAAAAGGUGGCCAGGAAAAUACUGAUUGAACCGCUUCUAACGGUCUAUUAAGUUAAACAAUUACCCUUAAGUUUGAUCUCAAAUCAGGUAGGACUACCCGCUGAACUUAAGCAUAUCAAUAAGCGGAGGA